AUAAACAGAGAACUCCCAAAAGGCUGGCUCCAGCCAAGGCCACGGGUGAGACAAGCCUGUGUUAUGCGCUUAUAUAAUGCACAGGCUUCACCCAGAGAUGGAACCAGCUCGAACUACCAACUGAUAAUGUCUCAAGCAGACAACAGGUGACCAAAUUAAGGAAAGAAACCAGGAUCCUGGCAGCCCAGGAAGCAGAGCCGGUCAUGACAACAUGCAGCUGAUGAUGUGGGGGUGAAAGGCUGAGUAAGCGGUUGCAAUCUGCAGUGAGCCAAGCUGAAAGGCCCGGGCGGAUGUGAAGGCUGGUGGUAAGGAAAUGGGAAGCAGGCAGCCAAGCUAACCCUGUGUCCACUGAAGGAGUGAGGUGGCCUUGAGCACAGCAGCAUCCCUGGGUCUUACGUCGGCCAGAAGUAGAAAGGGAAGAAGCCUAAAGGAAGUGAAAGUGUUGCUGGAUCUCCUGCUGGCAUUGCCUCCUCCUUCACACAGCAUCCCGGUUCUCCCUGCAGCCACCUGAUCUUCCCUUUGUCCCCUUCCUCACCACAGCCCCACCACCUUCACCACUCCAAGUUGAUGCUUCUCCUACAUCUGGCCAAGAUGCUACUCAGAGGUGGAUGAAAGCAAAAGUCACUGCUCUAAUACAAGAAAAGUCCCGGUUUUAGGUUUCAGAAACAGAAUUUUCCCGAAUGUUUAAAAUGGUGAAUGGUUCCAUAAACUGUGUUAACCAGGCUUCUUACAGGCUAGUCCCAGAAUCUGACCACCAUGUGCAAUACUGUUUCUAAGAAAAGUGUGCUCCAAGCAAGAACCUUCAAACAUUUAACCUGAAUGAAUGAAUAUAACCUCUUCACGGUUCAGUGUUUUCAUAAGCAAAACAAGAGAAUAGCAGCAUUGAUGUCUUUUAAAAAAAAUUUAGGGCUGGGCGCGGUGGCUCACGCCUGUAAUCCCAGCACUUUGGGAGGCCAAGGCAGGCAGAUCACUCCUGAGGUCAGGAGUUUGAGACCAGUCUGGCCAACAAGAUGAAACCCUGUCUCUACUAAUAAUACAAAAAAAUUAGCUGGAAUGUGGUGGCACAUGACUGUAAUCCCAGCUACUCAGGAGGCUG
rnacentral:lncRNA from 1 species